GAUGAACGCUGGCGGCGUGCCUAAUACAUGCAAGUCGAGCGAACAGACGAGGAGCUUGCUCCUCUUACGUUAUCGGCUGACGGGUGAGUAACACGUGGAUAACCUACCUAUAUGACUUGGAUAACUUCGUGAAACCGGAGCUAAUACCGGAUAAUAUAUUCAACCUCAUGGUUCAUUAGUUAAUGACGUUUUUGCUGUCUCUUAUAGAUUGUUCCGCGCCGCAUUAGCUAGUUGGUAAGGUAACGGCUUACCAAGGCAACGAUGCGUAUCCGACAUGAGAGGGGGAGCGGCGACACGGGAAGUGAGACACGGACCAGAGAACGACGGGAGGCAGCAGUAGGGAAUAUGGCGCAAUGGGGGAAAGCAUGACGGAGCAAAGCCGCGUGAGUGAAGAAGGACUUCGGAUCGUAAAAAUAUGUUAUUAGGGAAGAAAAAAUGUGGAAGAAAAUAUGGACGUAAUGACGGUAACUAAUAAGAAAGCAACGGCUAACUACGUG
rnacentral:rRNA from 1 species